UGGGGGUCUUUAAUUUGUCAACGAAUAAUGAUAGAUAUAGAUAUAAGAUAUUUUUUUUUAGAGAAAGAUACAACGCUAUCCGCUUCAUUCAUUUAGCAGAUGAAUUUAGCUACAAUGAUAGAUAUAGAUAUAGAUAUAGAUAUAUAUAUAAGAGAAAAAACUGAGGUUCUUUGGCUACAGGGAUACAUCAACUGUUCAGUUUCGAGAUGAUUUCUGUA
rnacentral:lncRNA from 1 species